rnacentral:lncRNA from 1 species
AAGAAGAUGAUGAGUACAAUUUACAUCUGUUGACACUAAUGACCGGAUAGCAGCUCUAUCUCUCUAAACUGCAACAAAAUUUUCUUGAGGUUCUUCAACUCGGAGAAAAACUUAAAGAAAGGUUCUUCAACUCGGAGAAAAACUUAAAGAAUGAUAUGAUAUUUGAAGGUUCUUAAACCGGGAGAAAUACUUAAAGAGUGAUAUGAUAUUAGAGUGAUAUAUUGGACAAAUCCAUUUAC